AGGCAAUACCAUUCUGGACAUAGGAACUGGCAAAGAUUACAUGACAAAGACACCAAAAGCAGUUGCAACAAAAGCAAAAAUUGGCAAAUGAAUCUAAAGAGCUUCUACACAGUAAAAUAAACUACCAUCAGAGUAAACAGACAACCUACAGAAUGGGAGAAAAUAUUUGCAAACUAUGCAUCUGACAAAGGUCUAAUAACCAGAAUCCAUAACGAACUAAAACAAAUUUAGAAGAAGAAAAACAACUCCAUUAAAAAGUGGGCAAAAGAAAUAAACAGACACUUUUCAAAAGAAGACAGGCACACUGCCAACAAGCAUGUAAUAAAAAGGUCCAUAUCACUGAUCAUUAGAGAAAUGCAAAUCAAAACCACAAUACCAUCUAACACCAGUCAGAAUGACUGUUAUUAAAAAGUCAAAAAACAGCAGAUAUUGGCAAAGUUGUGGAGAAACAGGGAACACUUAUACACUGUUGGUGGGAGUGUAAAUUAAUUCAACCAUUGUGGAAAGCAGUGUGGUGAUUCCACAAAGACCUGAAAACAGAACUACCAUUACUGGACAUAUACCCAAAGGAAUAUAGAUUGUGCUAUCAUAAAGACACAUGCACACUUAGGUUCAUUACAGCAUGGUUCACAAUAGCAGAGACAUGGAAUCAACCUAAAUGCCCAACAAUGUUAGACUGGAUAAAGGAAAUAUGAUACAUAUACACCAUGGAAUACUAUGUAGCCAUAAAAAGGAAUGAGGUUAUGUCCAUUACAGGAACAUGGAUAGAGCUGAAGGCCAUUAUCCUUAGCAAACUAACACAGAAAUAGAAAAGUGAAUGCCACAUGUUCUCACUUAUAAGUGGUAGCUCAAUGAUGAGAAUACAUGGACACAAAGAGGAGAACAACAGACACUGGGCCUACCUGAGGGUGGAGGAAGGGAGGAGGCAGAGCAUCAGAAAAAAUAACUAUUGGGUACUAGGCUUAGUACCUGGGUAAUGAAAUAAUCUGUACAACAAACACCUAUGACACGAGUUUACCGAUAUAACAAACCUGCACAUGCACCCCGAACCUAAAAGUUAAAAAAAUAAUAAACUGCUUUUCUUUGACAAAUAAAGAAACUACAGUAUGCAGUCCAUGUUUAUUUAUAUUAUGCUAGUUGCCUAUUCCUUGCAUAUCUACAUAAAUUCACAUAAUUUUAGAAGUUUGCAUUUCUAAAUUUAAAUCAAAUUUAGAAAUUUGAAGCUACGAAAUUAAGUUUGAAUAUGGAAAGCAUUGGGACGUUUAUCUCCUUACAAUCAGAUGUAAACACUAGUUAUGAAUAUACUUUUUUCAGUCAUACACCAAUCAUAAUAAAAUAUUCUUUUUAAAAUUAUUUUUUCGAGGAUCAUGCUGAAGUAUUUCACUGAUAUCCUACAUAUGGACACAAGGGAGAGAAAGAAAGCUAAAAUGGGAAGCAUCAAAUAUUUAGAAAGUAUGGACCAUCUUUAGUGAAUUCCAAAAAGCAACACAGCAUUAGGAACUCUGUCCUCUGGAAAAUCUUGGAGAGAUGAAGAUGUCCCAAUGUGAACAGUCUUAUUCUCUUUUAAGUGUCCUACCAUACAGAACUUUAACUUAGGCCAUUUAUUUAUUUUACUUAAUUAAAUUAGUCAAUCAGAUGUUUCCACAUGAGCCUUACCAGAGCCCUACUUAUCAUCAGGAAAACUUCUAAAGAAUGGGACAGAACAAAACUCAUGUUAUGUACAGAAGAAGGUAGCAUGUAUCCAAAGGAAGAAAGAAAGAAAGUAAAAGAGAGAGAAAGAGGAUAGAAAUAGAGAGAGAGAGACAGAAAGAAGGUUGAGACAGAGGGAGGGAGGGAGGGAAGGGGGAAGGGAAGGAAGGGGGAAGGGAAGGAAGGGGGAAGGGAGGGAAGGAGGAAGCAAAGCUGACCACGACUCAGUAUAUUUAACAUCAGGAAAUCAAAACUGAGGAUAGAAAAAUGCGCAAAGUGAAGGAGGUUUUUUCAAGAUUACGUGGUUUAUGAUAAACUAAAGAAUGAAAGUUGAAGAAUUAAAAGACAUAAACCGAACUUUAUUUUUUAUUCUAAUGGUAAUGAUGGAAUUUCUGAUCAAAAACAAUCUUAAAGAGAGUCAAAUGACAUAUGGGCUUAUAAAGCUUUAGCAUACCAUAACCUACCACCCUUUUCAGGCACAAUGAAAAAAGAAGUUGGAAAAGCAUCCACCUAUUGCCUGCAUGUAACAGAGCUCUGAGAAAUCAGCCUUUUAAUAAAAAGUACAGUCCUCAAAGUCUAAAUGCCUAUCUAGCCCUUUCAUAUUAUGAUACGUUCUGUUAGAAAUCAGUUUUCUUUCUUGCCUUUCAUGCAUUAUUACUUCACAUUAGUUCAAUUUUCCUUUGUCUUGCUUCUAGGUUUUUCAGUCACCCAACCUUUUCUUUUAUGAAGGCCUCUAUUGUUUUUUAUAAUUAUCACUGUAAUAAUACAAAUGAGUUUAUCAAACUUGUUUCUCAGUCUCCUUUUCUCCAUGAGUUGGUAAUUAAUUUGUUAACAUGUUGGCAUCAUGUUUUCCAUGAAUCUGGCUCCAUCCAUGAACCACUGAAUAUCCUCCUGCAUUUAUGAUGCUUGCCUCAAAUCACUGUUUCCUGACUUAGUAUUUUCUGGCAUCAAGACAUGAAACAAAAAGUAUCGGCUGGGCGCGGUGGCUCACGCCUG
rnacentral:lncRNA from 1 species